UUGGAAUUGCAUCACCCUAUUGUGUCUCAUAGGUAUGGUAAGGGGUUGGCUGAAGAAAGUUUUUGGGUUGGGACAAGGGAUUAUAGUCCAUAUCUGGUGCUUCCUUCAGUUAUGGAGUUCGUUAACAGGUUCGAAGGCGGUCUUAAGGGAAUCAUAAAAAGGAAUCAUGAUGCUGUUGUUGAGAUGGGGAAGAUGUUGGCAGAAGCUUGGGGAACCAAUCUAGGGUGUCCUCCUGAUAUGUGCGCUAGCAUGAUCAUGGUAGGGUUACCGGCUUGUUUGGGGAUUUCAAGUGAUGAUGAUGCUACGAAGUUAAGGCCACAUUUAUGUGAUAAAUUUGGUGUUGAAGUCAGAAUACAUUAUCAAGCUCCCAAAGAUGGAGAGGUUGGAUCAACGACGGGGUAUGUUCGAAUUUGUCAUCAGAUUUACAACAAAGUUGAUGACUAUUACAAGCUCAGAGAUGCAGUUAAUCAACUAGUUCGUGAUGGAUUCACUUGCGCUCUUGAGGUAUGUAUAUGCUCUGCCUUCAUCCAGUUUAUUGGUUUGUAAGCUAGACAUACUAUACACUGCAACUUGCUAAAUUUGGUUUGCUUACUUGUUAUUGACAUGGGAUUUUACGUUAAUCUGUAGAUCAAUGAGGCCUGAACUCCGUUCGAUGAAAAAAAGAAGCUAUAUGGUCCUAUAUCCUGCAUGCUUUGCUAGUUGUGCAAUGGAUUUUGUACCAUUAACUUCUGAAGUGCUCCUGAGCAAACAAGUAUAUAUAUAGAGAAGUUCAUGAAUUUUCAGUUUGAUAUGCAGAAAAGUUCAUGUAUGAAUACAUUAACAAUUAUCUGUCGGUUUGGUUGUGAUUCGCAGAGAUUAGGACUCGAUUUGAACACAGCACCUCAUGCAAUCAGUUUGACAAUAAGUGAAACACAAUGUGUGCUUGAACAACAAGACUUACCUGAAAGCACUUGCACUCCUUUGCAGUUUUAUAAUAAGCAAUUGUAACUGAUGCAUUCCUUAAAAGCCCUUCAAUUAUUUACUCUUCAUCUUUCUAAUAUAAUGUGUUAAACUGUCUCUUUGAGCUCAGUGAUUUAAUCCCAGAACUUUUAAGUUACCGUGCCCACUUGAACUAUAUGAGUGUUACUACAAAUGGUAUCAGUUCAGCCAUAAGCUGCAUUUGUUAAUAAGCUGAUAUAUUUACUAAAGUGAUGUUUUUCUUGCCACAAAGGCAAACCUAAAUCCAUGGUUCUCUAGCGUUCCAUUUUCCAUGCAUAAUUUCCAGCACAUCACAUGUAGAUAGCCAGAUUCAAAAGCAUGAAAAUAUGGAAGUUGACUUUAGAUUAAUACACCAAACUUUAUAAGAUUGUCUUUUGGUGACCCAAAUCUUAAAAUCAACGUCAUAAUCCUUUAUUUUUCUCCCUAAUCAAUUUAAACCUCCCUAAUGUCAUAUAUAAAACAAGUGAUUUUGGUCGUAGCUCUCUUGUCUUUUGUAGUCAAGACAAGCAUUGAGACAUAUCAAGAGUCCGCAAGAAUAUUACAAAUUAAUAAGUUGAACAAUGACUAUGAAUGAGAGAUCAUUAACGCCCAAUUUCAACAAACGCUUAAGGUACUUAAAAUCAUCAUGUUCAAUUAAUUCUUGCCUCGACAAUACAAUCGGCGCUGAUCCUCAUUAAUUUGCUAAUGUCUUUGUUGUGUAUGGUUCUGGUUUGAGUGAGCAGGUCAUGGCUAAAAAGAUUAUUAUGUUUUGCCGCCACUAUGUUCCACCUAUUCUUCUCCUUCCUUAUCAAACCUUCCAAUUCCUCUACCCCAAGCUUUCAUUUCAAGUCUCAAGGGCCUCUAACCACCAUUUCCACAACCUCAAAGCUGAUGAAAUCCAAACCCAUGUUCCCAUUGAGACAAAACUCUCUUCUUCCUUCAUCACAGACUCCGAAAUCCAAUCUGAAUUUGCUCACCAUGCUCCUGGUGUUGCCAGGAUGAACAAUGGCAGCUUUGGUUGCUGCCCUGCUUCUAUCAUCUCUGACUUACAUCAAUGGCAGCUCAAAUUGCUCCGCCAGCCGGACCAUUUCUACCUGAAUGAGCUCCAGAACAGGAUACUCGAAUCAAGAACCGUAGUUAAAGACCUUAUCAAUGCAGAAGAUGUGGAUGAAGUCUCCAUUGUAGACAAUGUCUCCACUGCUGUAGCCAUAGUCCUGCAGCAGACGGCAUGGGCCUUUGCUGAAAGGAAAUUCAACCAAGGGGAUGCUCUCAUUAUGUUUCACUGUGCUUAUGGAGCGGUGAAGAACUCAAUCAAGGCCUACUUUCUGCGUGCUGGUGGGUACGUUAUCGAAGUUCCAUUUAAAUUUCCGCUGAAUUCCAAUGAAGAAAUCAUAAGUGAAUUUAGGAAAGCAUUGGAGAGAGAAAAGGGUAAUGGUAGGAGAGUGAGAUUAGCUGUGAUUGAUCAUGUCACAUGCAUGCCAAGUGUUAUAAUGCCAGUUAAGCAUUUGGUCAAAAUUUGUAGGGAAGAAGGUGUCGAACAAGUUUUAAUAGAUGCAGCUCAUGGUGUUGGGUGCAUAGAUGUUGAUAUGCAAGAAAUUGGGGCAGAUUUUUAUACUAGCAAUUUGUAUAAGUGGUUCUUUUGCCCACCUGCAGUUGCAUUUCUGUAUUGUAGGAAGUCAGUGACAAAUUCAGAUUUGCAAUUGCAUCACCCUGUGGUGUCUCAUGAGUAUGGCAAUGGGUUGGCUAAAGAAACUGGUUGGGUUGGGACAAGGGAUUACAGUCCUUAUCUGGUGCUUCCUUCAGUUAUGGAGUUUGUCAAUAGGUUCGAAGGCGGUGUUGAGGGGAUCAGAAAAAUGAAUCAUGAUGCUGUUGUUGAGAUGGGGAAGAUGUUGGCAGAAGCUUGGGGAACCAAUCUAGGCUGUCCUCCUGAUAUGUGUGCUAGCAUGAUCAUGGUUGGUUUGCCAGCUUGUUUGGGGAUUUCAAGUGAUGAUGAUGCUAUAAAGUUAUGGGCACGUUUAUGCAAGAAAUUUGGUGUUGAAGUCAAGAUACAUUAUCAAGCUCCCAAAGAUGCCGAGGUUGCGCCGACAACAGGGUAUGUUCGAAUUUGUCAUCAGAUUUACAACAAAGUUGAUGACUAUAACAAGCUCAGAGAUGCAAUUAAUCAACUCGUUCGUGACGGUUUCACUUGCGCUCUUGAGGUAUAUAUAUGCUCUGCCUUCAUCCACUUUAUUGGUUUAUAAGCUAGACGUACUACACACUGCAGUUUCCUGAAUUUGGUUUGCUAACUUGUUAUUGACAUGGGAUAUCAUGUUGAUCUGCAGAUCAAUGAGGCCUGAAGAAGUCUGUUCGAUGAAUAAAAGGAGCUGUAGUUCUCUGUGUCCUACAUCCUUUGCUAGCUGCAAUGGUUUUGGUACAAUUAAGUCCAAAAGUGCUCCUUCAGAGGCAAAAAAACUAUACAGAAAGUUCAUGAACAUUUCUUUUUUCUUUUUUCGGUUUGAUAUGUAGAAAACUUCAUGUAUGAAUACAUAAACAAUUGUCUGUCAGCUUCAAGGAAUGUAAUUUCCAGAUAUGUUUACCGACCAAUGGGCUCCAUUUGAGAAUCUGUGAAAACCCAAGAACUUAAACAACCAACAAGAUUAACCUAAAAAUACUUGCCCUUUACACUUUCUCCUUUACCUUUUAUAAACAGCAAUUCUAACCCUAAAAGGCGUUCAAAGAAUUACUCUCCAGCUUUAUAAUAUAGUGUUAAAGUGUCAUCUUUAUAAGUUGGUGAGCACACCAACAAGUGGGUCAGCAUUUAUAAUGAAUAUAGCUUAACGAGUGCUAUCAGUUCAAGGCCUCUAGGAAGCCACAAGCUUUCAUAGAUGAAUAUAGCUUAACGAGUGCUAUCAGCAUUUGUAAUAGAUAUUUCAAGAAAGGGCUGCUCUCUCCAACUUAAUAAUUGAAAUUUAGGGAAACAAGUCUGAGCUUCAAAAUAUGAAGCAGACCUCUGAGCUCUUAUUCCCUAUUUAUCAUUCUCUUUCUCGUAUCUUCGUAUAUUAAUUUCUUGUGGUACUUUGCUGCUAGUAUUAUCAUCAAAUUCCAACAUCAUCCGCGAAAGAAAACUACUUUCGACAACGGCUUAGGGUACUUACUAAAAAUCAUGUUUAAUUAAUUCUUGCCUCAACAAUACAUUUGGCUCUGAUCCUCAUUUUUUAUUGUUUUUUUUUUUUUGUUGUGCAUGCAUGGUUGUGUUUUUUAGUAACGCAGGUCAUGGCUGAGAAGAUUAUUAUGUUUUGCCGUUACUAUGUUCUACUUAUUGUUCUUCUUCCUUAUCGAACCCUCCAAUUCUUCUACCACAAGCUUUCAUUCCAAGUCUCAAGGGCCUCUAACCUAGAUGCUGCUGAGGGCAUCGAAAACCAUGCUCCCAUUGAGCCAAAGCUUUCUUCUUCCUUCAUCACAGACUCCCAAAUCCAAUCUGAAUUUGCUCACCAUGCUCCUGGUGUUGCCAUGAUGAACAAUGGCAGCUUUGGUUGCUGCCCUGCUUCUGUCAUCUCUGCCUUGCAACAAUGGCAGCUCAAAAUGCUCCGCCAGCCGUGCAAUUUCUUCUUGAAUGAUCUCCAGAACAGGAUACUUGAAUCAAGAACCAUAAUUAAAGACCUUAUCAACGCAGAAGAUGUGGAUGAAGUCUCCAUUGUAGACAACAUCUCCACUGCUGCUGCCAUAGUCCUGCAGCAAACAGCAUGGGCCUUUGCUGAAGGGAAAUUCAACAAGGGGGAUACUGUCAUUAUGUUUAGCUGCACUUAUGGUGCAGUGAAGAACUCAAUCAAGGCCUACUUUUCACGUGCUGGUGGGUAUGUUAUCGAAGUUCCAUUUAACUUUCCAUUGAAUUCCAAUGAAGAAAUCAUAAGUGAAUUUAGGAAAGCAUUGGAGAGAGAAAAGGGUAAUGGUAGGAGAGUGAGAUUGGCUGUGAUAGAUCAUGUCACAUGCAUGCCAAGUGUUGUAAUGCCAGUUAAGCAAUUGGUUAAAAUCGUUAGGGAAGAAGGUGUUGAACAAGUUUUCAUAGAUGCAGCUCAUGGUGUUGGGUGCGUAGAUGUUGAUAUGCAAGAAAUUGGGGCAGAUUUUUAUGCUAGUACUUUGUAUAAGUGGUUCUUCUGCCCACCUGCAGCUGCAUUUUUGUAUUGUAGGAAGUCAGCUACAUAUUCAGAUUUGGAAUUACAUCACCCUGUUGUAUCUCAUAGGUAUGGUAAGGGGUUGGCUGAAGAAAGUUUUUGGGUUGGGACAAGGGAUUAUAGUCCAUAUCUGGUGCUUCCUUCAGCUAUGGAGUUCGUUAAGAGAUUCGAAGGCGGUGUUGAGGGAAUCAGAAAAAUGAAUCAUGAUGCUGUUGUAGAGAUGGGGAAGAUGUUGGCAGAAGCUUGGGGAACCAAUCUAGGCUGCCCUCCUG
rnacentral:lncRNA from 1 species